rnacentral:rRNA from 1 species
UACGAAGGGGGCUAGCGUUGUUCGGAAUUACUGGGCGUAAAGAGUACGUAGGCGGUUAUUCAAGUCAGAGGUGAAAUCCCGGAGCUUAACUCCGGAACUGCCUUUGAAACUAGAUAGCUAGAAUCAUGGAGAGGUUAGUGGAAUUCCGAGUGUAGAGGUGAAAUUCGUAGAUAUUCGGAAGAACACCAGUGGCGAAGGCGACUAACUGGACAUGUAUUGACGCUGAGGUACGAAAGCGUGGGGAGCAAACAGG